UGGGGAAUCUUGGACAAUGGGGGCAACCCUGAUCCAGCCAUGCCGCGUGAGUGAUGAAGGCCUUAGGGUCGUAAAGCUCUUUCGCCUGUGAAGAUAAUGACGGUAGCAGGUAAAGAAACCCCGGCUAACUCCGUGCCAGCAGCCGCGGUAAUACGGAGGGGGUUAGCGUUGUUCGGAAUUACUGGGCGUAAAGCGCACGUAGGCGGACCAGAAAGUUGGGGGUGAAAUCCCGGGGGCUCAACCCCGGAACUGCCUCCAAAACUAUUGGUCUAGAGUUCGAGAGAGGUGAGUGGAAUUCCAAGUGUAGAGGUGAAAUUCGUAGAUAUUUGGAGGAACACCAGUGGCGAAGGCGGCUCACUGGCUCGAUACUGACGCUGAGGUGCGAAAGUGUGGGGAGCAAACAGGAUUAGAUACCCUGGGUAGUCCACACCGUAAAACGAUGAAUGCCAGUCGUCGGGUAGCAUGCUAUUC
rnacentral:rRNA from 1 species